rnacentral:tRNA from 1 species
GGGGGUGUAGCUCAGCUUGGUUAGAGCGCCUGCCUGUCACGCAGGAGGCCGCGGGUUCGAGUCCCGUCACUCCC